rnacentral:rRNA from 1 species
UACGUAGGGCCCAAGCGUUAUCCGGAAUUAUUGGGCGUAAAGAGCGCGUAGGCGGGUUGUUGCGUCUGCUGUGAAAACUCGGGGCUUAACUCCGGGCCUGCAGUGGGUACGGGCAGACUAGAGUGCGGUAGGGGAGACUGGAAUUCCUGGUGUAGCGGUGAAAUGCGCAGAUAUCAGGAGGAACACCGGUGGCGAAGGCGGGUAUCUGGGCCGUAACUGACGCUGAGGAGCGAAAGCGUGGGGAGCGAACAGG